AUAAGUUUGAACACAUUAAUUAUUAAGCAUAAACAAAUUUUGAUUCCUCUUACAGGCAGAUUUAUUGACUCUCUCACUCUGAAAUCCUCUCAAUUCACUUUAUAAAGCCUUCAGAUAUUCACAUCACACUUACGGAGUGAAGCAAAAUUUGUAUGUAAUAAUUUUUGGUAGCAAGAAUGAGUCUUGUGAAUCCAAUUACAACAUGGUCUCAAACAAAUUCCAUGAACAAAUCCACACAAGAUUUUUCUUUUCUUCCCCAUCCUCUGGAGAACAAACUGACCAUUUCUUCGUUUUCUUCAAAUCCCACAAAAAAAUUUACUGUUUUUUCUUCGAUUUCCAUAUCAGCAAUUCUAACCAAAGAACAAGAAGAAGGUAGCAAAAGCAUAAGCCAAGAAGAACCCACUUUCAAUUUCAAGGUCUAUAUGUUUGAGAAGGUG
rnacentral:lncRNA from 1 species